rnacentral:rRNA from 1 species
AUGAACGCUGGCGGCGUGCCUAAUACAUGCAAGUCGAGCGAACGGACGAGAAGCUUGCUUCUCUGAUGUUAGCGGCGGACGGGUGAGUAACACGUGGAUAACCUACCUAUAAGACUGGGAUAACUUCGGGAAACCGGAGCUAAUACCGGAUAAUAUUUUGAACCGCAUGGUUCAAAAGUGAAAGACGGUCUUGCUGUCACUUAUAGAUGGAUCCGCGCUGCAUUAGCUAGUUGGUAAGGUAACGGCUUACCAAGGCAACGAUGCAUAGCCGACCUGAGAGGGUGAUCGGCCACACUGGAACUGAGGCACGGUCCAGACUCCUACGGGAGGCAGCAGUAGGGAAUCUUCCGCAAUGGGCGAAAGCCUGACGGAGCAACGCCGCGUGAGUGAUGAAGGUCUUCGGAUCGUAAAACUCUGUUAUUAGGGAAGAACAUAUGUGUAAGUAACUGUGCACAUCUUGACGGUACCUAAUCAGAAAGCCACGGCUAACUACGUG